rnacentral:SRP_RNA from 2 species
GGGCAAGUCUCAUACAACCAGCUCCUGGUGAACUCCCCCAGGUCCGGAAGGAAGCAAGGGUAACUGGUCGAAGCGGUGUGAUAUGAGGAGCUUGCCCUUU